AGUGGCCAGUGACGCCCCGGCACCGCAAGUUGUCGAGACGGGGGCGCAGGUGCCGACCGACCGGGCGAGGAGGAGGUUCACCACCACCCACCGUCGAUCAGACCUGUAAGUGUUCGACUUACGUAUUUUUGGACUCCUCUUUGAUUUUUCUUUUUCUUUUUUUUGAAAUUUGACUGUUGUUCCUGUAGUGCGGCGUCGGAUGUCGACCCCGGCCAGGUUGCCAGCCAAGGAACGGGCGAGCCUGCCCGCGGUUCUGGGGAUGCGGCCCCCCAGACCACAGAGCAGCCAACAGCUGCAGUCGCGCCUGGGAGCACCGAGGGGCUCCCGAGCGCGGCACCGACCACGACAAGCAGCCCGACCAGGGCUGGAGAGGCUCCCCCAACUGACUCCUCAG
rnacentral:lncRNA from 1 species